rnacentral:rRNA from 1 species
UACGUAGGGUGCGAGCGUUAAUCGGAAUUACUGGGCGUAAAGCGUGCGCAGGCGGUUCGUCAAGUCUGAUGUGAAAGCCCCGGGCUCAACCUGGGAAUGGCAUGGGAAACUGGCGAGCUGGAGUGCGGCAGAGGGGGGUGGAAUUCCGCGUGUAGCAGUGAAAUGCGUAGAGAUGCGGAGGAGCACCGAUGGCGAAGGCGGUCCCCUGGGCCGACACUGACGCUCAGGCACGAAAGCGUGGGGAGCAAACAGG